rfam:Ipomoea nil DNA, scaffold: scaffold1317, cultivar: Tokyo-kokei standard.
GGGGGUGUAGCUCAUAUGGUAGAGCACUCGCUUUGCAUGCGAGAGGCACGGGGUUCGAUUCCUUGCACCUCCA